GAGUUUGAUCAUGGCUCAGGAUGAACGCUGGCGGCGUGCUUAACACAUGCAAGUCGAACGAACCUUCGGGUUAGUGGCGGACGGGUGAGUAACGCGUGGGAAUCUGCCCUCAGGAGGGGGAUAACGGCUGGAAACGGCCGCUAAUACCCCAUAUGCCGAGAGGUGAAAUGAAUUUCGCCUGAGGAUGAGCCCGCGUCUGAUUAGCUAGUUGGUGAGGUAAGAGCUCACCAAGGCAUCGAUCAGUAGCUGGUCUGAGAGGAUGAUCAGCCACACUGGGACUGAGACACGGCCCAGACUCCUACGGGAGGCAGCAGUGGGGAAUUUUCCGCAAUGGGCGAAAGCCUGACGGAGCAACGCCGCGUGAGGGAUGAAGGCCUCUGGGCUGUAAACCUCUUUUCUCAAGGAAGAAGAUCUGACGGUACUUGAGGAAUAAGCCACGGCUAAUUCCGUGCCAGCAGCCGCGGUAAUACGGGAGUGGCAAGCGUUAUCCGGAAUUAUUGGGCGUAAAGCGUCCGCAGGCGGCCCUUCAAGUCUGCUGUUAAAACGUGGAGCUUAACUCCAUCAUGGCAGUGGAAACUGUUGGGCUUGAGUGUGGUAGGGGCAGAGGGAAUUCCCGGUGUAGCGGUGAAAUGCGUAGAUAUCGGGAAGAACACCAGUGGCGAAGGCGCUCUGCUGGGCCAUAACUGACGCUCAUGGACGAAAGCCAGGGGAGCGAAAGGGAUUAGAUACCCCUGUAGUCCUGGCCGUAAACGAUGAACACUAGGUGUCGGGGGAAUCGACCCCCUCGGUGUCGUAGCCAACGCGUUAAGUGUUCCGCCUGGGGAGUACGCACGCAAGUGUGAAACUCAAAGGAAUUGACGGGGGCCCGCACAAGCGGUGGAGUAUGUGGUUUAAUUCGAUGCAACGCGAAGAACCUUACCAGGGUUUGACAUCCUGCGAACCUCUUGGAAACGAGAGGGUGCCUUCGGGAACGCAGUGACAGGUGGUGCAUGGCUGUCGUCAGCUCGUGUCGUGAGAUGUUGGGUUAAGUCCCGCAACGAGCGCAACCCACGUCUUUAGUUGCCAGCAUUUAGUUGGGCACUCUAGAGAGACCGCCGGUGAUAAACCGGAGGAAGGUGUGGAUGACGUCAAGUCAUCAUGCCCCUUACAUCCUGGGCUACACACGUACUACAAUGCUACGGACAAAGAGCAGCAAGUUCGCGAGGACAAGCAAAUCUCAUAAACCGUGGCUCAGUUCAGAUCGUAGGCUGCAACUCGCCUACGUGAAGGAGGAAUCGCUAGUAAUCGCAGGUCAGCAUACUGCGGUGAAUACGU
rnacentral:rRNA from 1 species